GUGAAGUUUGAUUGUAAGACUUUUAAACACGAAAAAAAAACGUUGCAAUAUAGGUGAUUGUUAGAAUUUUAUUGGUUUUGAAUGUAAAAACAAAUGUCUGGGAUUUUGGGGGAUUCGGGCUAUGAACAUUGUGAAGCUGUAAAUAAAGAAACCGAGAAGGAGACCCAUCCAACGUAUGUUGAACUAAUAGAUUCUACGUAUGACAAAAUACCAGAUGUAAGUACAAUGUAGUUAGGAACAUUAUAAGAUUGUAUUCGUUUUCUUUAAAAAAAAAAUUCGAUAUAAAACUUAACUCUCAAGUGUAAACAUUAUGGGUUUUUUCCAAACUAAGCAAUAUUUUAUAGGUAGAGAAAUCUAAUAUAAAACCAUUCUGGUAUAUCUGGUAGCUGAUUUCUUAAUCGUUGAACCUUUUAAGUUCCUGCAUUCAUGACGCAAGAAGUACUCCUUCUUUAUCAUUAACUUUUCAAGAACAUAUUUAUAGUAAAUGUUAUUUGAAAAAAUGAUAAUUAUAAAAAGCAAUUUAAAUCUUUUUUUUUAAUAAAUAGUUUCACAUUUCCUAAAAAAAACUUUGUUGGAUUAAAUGUUAUUUACUAUGACAUACAUUCAACCAUGAGCAUCUAAUACUAUAUGAAAAAAUGAAUUACUAUUUUGUCUAGCACCAUUUUAAUGGACAGAAUUCUGAGAAGUUGAAAGAAUCGCAACACGAGGAUACGAUACCGCGGGGUUUUCCGGUGACGCAAUAUUUAUAGAUUUUUAACUGAAAGAUGAUUAGUCUGAAUGAAUUAGCAAAUGUUAAGUUCUCAUAAACAAAACA